GAAACCGUUCAGGGGUAANCCUGAGAAACCCAAAAGAUCGAAUGGGGAGAUUCAUCGUCAGCUCAUUUUAUAUAUAUGCAUGUUAUGAUAUGGGUUACAUUUACACUUUUUGUGUAUAUAGUAUUGCCUGUACAUUCUUGUAUAUUUAAUUGUAAAAUGUUGUCGGCGUGCACUUCUCCCCUAGUAGGACAUCGCGACCCGUUGAGUUGUUUUGUUUGGUCUAUGGCCCAGGUGGGAGCUUUUAGUGGAAUUUUUUCACGAAAAUUUGCAUUGAAAACCCCUGGUGCUUCCUGACUAACACUCGUCGGUAUAUUAAUAUGGUAUUGAGUCGCAAUAUAUAAAAAUAUGCGUUCAUAUCUGUCACAAGCGAGGUUAAUUUACUAAUAAGUACGGACUUUGUGCCGUCGUUGGUAUUAAUCAGCUGUUGGUUGUACAGAAUUCUAGAACUGGCUCGAAAAAAUAUAAAAUAAAUACCUGUCAGCGAUGCUACUGCUUUGGGUACUUUCAGGACCCGUCUUGAAACACGGACCAAGGAGUCUAACAUGUACGCGAGUCAUUGGGAUAAUUAUAAAUUAAACCUAAAGGCGUAAUGAAAGUAAAGGUCGUCCUUGUGUCGACUAAGGGAGGAUGGGCUAUUUUAUGUGAAUAGCCUCGCACUCUCGGGGCGUCUCAUUCUCAUUAUGAGAAGAGGCGCACCUAGAGCGUACACGUUGG
rnacentral:rRNA from 1 species